UACGGAGGGUGCAAGCGUUGUUCGGAUUGACUGGGCGUAAAGGGCGUGUAGGCGGUUGGUCAAGUCUGGUGUGAAAGCCCGGGGCUUAACCCCGGAAGUGCGCUGGAAACUAGCCAGCUAGAGCGCGAGAGAGGAGGGUGGAAUUCCUGGUGUAGCGGUGAAAUGCGCAGAUAUACGAGGGAAGGAACCACCGAAGUGGCAAGGGCGUCUG
rnacentral:rRNA from 1 species